GGUGCCAGCAGCCGCGGUAAUUCCAGCUCCAAUAGCGUAUAUUAAAAUUGUUGCAGUUAAAAAGCUCGUAGUUGAAUUUCUGCUGCAUUUCAUUUCUCUUUCUGAGUUUGUUUUUGCGGCUUAUUUCGGUUUGAUUUUUUCUUUCCGGAUGAUUACUUUGAGAAAAUUAGAGUGCUCAAAGCAGGCUUUUGCCUU
rnacentral:rRNA from 1 species